CCAGAGAGGAGCAAGUGUUUCCUAGAGAGCCCUUUCUUUUCUCCAGAAGAUAUGGCUUUUGAAGGCAUAAGCAGAGCCCAAAAAAAAGGAAAGAAUACCUGCUCUUGUUAGGUUAAGAAGAAUAAAAGAAGUGCUAUCACUUGGCUGUAGAUCUUGCAACAAGCUAGAAGACUCUGAAGUGGACAAAAACUCCGGGGAUUUCUGUACAGUCUGAGCUCUCGUCUCCUCUCCGUCUGGACCCACAUUCACCCGAAGGCUUCUCAAAACAGCUGAGGAAGGGACCUCCUUGGAGGAGUUAGAAUGAUUUGUAGUAUCAUCUAGUAAAGGGAAAAUACCACAGCUUUAUGUAGCACCUAUCUCUAGGAGCCCACCAUUUUGAUACACAGCACCCAACAUCUCUUGGAAGCUAACAUCCUUAUAGCAACAGACAGCAUUCUCAUUACACAAAUAAAAACUUUGUCUCACAGAA
ensembl:lncRNA novel transcript, antisense to ZNF410